rnacentral:tRNA from 3 species
GGGUGCUUAGCUCAGUGGGAGAGCGCUUCCUUGACGCGGAAGAGGUCGCAGGUUCAAUCCCUGCAGCACCCACCA